GCUUGCUUGUGACGGGGACAGGAGGAGAGACACGAGAACUUAGAAUAACAGAAAACGACUAGGGAGCAGCGAGGUGGCUCCCUGGGGGAGAGGCAGGCAUGGAGUGACUUCGGGCCCAUCCGGCCUCCUGGCUGGCUGUCAAGUGAAGGAAGUGGCCAGAGGGCCCCGAGGCCCGUCUGGCGCUGGGGCUGUCCUUUCUCAGGCGUUAGGAAAUGCCGGCUUUUUAGGGACACUCCAGGAGGACGUCCUGUGGUUCUUUGCACGGAACUUGCCAUGGAAGGAUAAAGCCAUUCCAUGGGCGCUUCCCUCCUGGUACUCUACACCGUUGGCAGGUCUCCCCUCCUCCCCCUCAGGCCUCCUGCUCUUGCUCCCCGCUGGCCCUGGGUCACAGGUUUAAAGCUGGAAGAAGCUCAUCUUGAAGAUAAGGAAACAGAGUGGUGUGGUAGUGGGUGCUCCGGCCAUCUUGGGAGAAUGGACGCCUCCCUCUCUGGGGAGCCCCGAGAAAGGACGUGGUCCAAUGGAAGCCAGUUGCGUUGUAGAAGCCGCCUGGUGAAGGUCCAGACACGUUGUCUGGCCUUUGUGCCCUCCCUUUCAGUCCUCCAUCCGAGGCGAGCUGUGUGUGCCGGUGCCAGGACAGCGGGAGGCUCCGAGGGCCUCGGGCUUCAGCCCGGAUGCUGGAGAAGGAGACAGACCCCGGGAGGGAGAGCCAGGUGGCCCCGCCGAAGCCAGAGCCUGGCAUGCGGCCCCCAAAAGCUGGGUGUGGACUUCAAUGGAUUUAAUUAGCUCCAGGAGAUGGAGCUCAUAGCAAAGGGGGAGGCCCGAGAAGUGCCCACUGAGAGCAUUUCAGUGAGUGCCGAGCCUGGGAUUAGCGCGUUAUUUGUGUGCAAACUCGGUACCUGCCUCUGCAGCUUUC